CAAAAAAUAGUUUAAUUUAGAAUAUUAAUUUUGGGGAUUAAUGGUAUAUAAGAUAGAUUAUUUUUUUGA
rnacentral:tRNA from 1 species